rnacentral:rRNA from 1 species
AUACGGAGGAUCCAAGCGUUAUCCGGAUUUAUUGGGUUUAAAGGGUGCGCAGGCGGAGGAUUAAGUCGGCGGUGAAAUUUUGCAGCUCAACUGUAAAAGUGCCAUCGAUACUGGUUUUCUUGAGUGUGGAUGAAGUAGGCGGAAUUUGUGGUGUAGCGGUGAAAUGCAUAGAUAUCACGAGGAACUCCGAUUGCGCAGGCAGCUUACUAGGCCAUAACUGACGCUCAGGCACGAAGGCGUGGGGAUCAAACAGGAUUAGAUACCCUGGUAGUCCACGCAGUAAACGAUGAUUACUCGCUGUUUGCGAUACACAGUAAGCGGCUUAGCGAAAGCGUUAAGUAAUCCACCUGGGGAGUACGUUCGCAAGAAUGAAACUCAAAGGAAUUGACGGGG